rnacentral:misc_RNA from 1 species
GUAGGUGAACCUGCGGAAGGAUCAUUAACACGUAUCCAACGUUAAAAACCCCCCCCGUGAACCUACAACAUACGUCUCCGCUAACGAUACCCAUGGUUGCAAUCCCAGCACGUUAGUGUCCUGAUAAAAGAGGCGCUGCAACAGACGGGUUCCACGACCCCAAGGAGUCAAAAGCUGUCAGCGAGUGGCAAGUGAGGGAGUCAGUCAGGGGGUUGUUAAAGUGUUCAACCUGAUUGUCAUCUUGUAAGUUGAGAGUGUCUUUUGAUUUUGGACGGGUAGACCACCCCAGGUGGGUCACUGUGGCCGACACGGCCGUGAUGGGAUUCUGGCGUCGUGCCUAUAGGUACGAACUAGCGCCCGACAUGACCUCUUGAAACGACAGGGGCGCAACCGGACCAAUUUUUUAAUCUGCCCCUUACCCUAACAGGUACUCGGGUGUCUAAACGAACAACUGUUAACAAUGGAUAUCUUGGUUCUC